rnacentral:snoRNA from 1 species
AUGUGAUGAUUCCUUAUAGAUGACGAGUCUGACAUACUAUUGUGAAGACAACCAACUUUUUAAUACCAUUCAUGCAUUUCUGAGA